CUCCACCGGAUUAUAGGUUACAUGAGGGCAGGAAUUUUGAGUCUUAUCCUCAGAAGUGCUUGGCGCAUACAGAGCAUUCACACUUGUUGAAUGAAUGAGUGAAUUAAAUGAAUAUGUGAUAGAAUUAACACAUGAUGCAAGAGGCUGGGUAGCUACUUCAGGUUGGAUAAUCGGGAAAGCCUCUGAGGGAAAGACUUUUAAGCUGAAAUCUGAUGACAAGAAGAAAUUUGUUGUGAAGAUAAUGAGGAAGAGCGUUUAAGGGAGAGAAAAUAGUCAAAGCCAUGAGCUUGCCAUAUUUGAGGGGCAGAAAGAAGAUGUGACCUUUUUGACUGGCUUCCUUCACUUAGCAUAAUGUUUUCGAGGUUCAUUUGUAAUGUUACAUUGUAUAGUACACAGGGAGGUAUUAGGGAGAAAGCCUUGGAUAUCUUGAUGUGAGGUAAUAAGUAAAUGCAAUGAUACUGAGGAAGGAGCCUGCCUGGUAUAGUUGAAAAACAGCAAAGAGGCGAAUAUGGUUGGAAAAGAGAGGGAUAAACUAGUAGAAGAUCAGAGAGUUAACAGGGGUCAUAUCUUAUAGCCUCUACCAGUUUCUGCCACAUAAAAACCACAAACUCUCAGAAGCAUACACUAGUAAGUGGUUAUUUAGCUCAUGCCUAUGAGUCAGAUCUAGACUGGGCUUAUCUGGACAGCUCUGCUAAUCUCAUUUGGGCUUGCUCACAUCCAUAAGAAGUUGGUUUGGGGUCAGCUGAUCUAAGCUAGGCUCAGAUGAAGAAGCUCUAUUGCAUGUGUUUCUCUUCCUUUUCCUGGGACCAGCAGGCUAUCCCUGACAUGUUUUUCUCAGGACAGUGGCGGAGAUGUAAGAGGGCAGGUCCACUUGGAAAACCAUUUUCAAGCCUUUGGUUGCAUCAUGUCUGUUGAUGAGUCACACAAUCAAGCUCAGAGACAAGAGGUGUACAAUGAGAAAGACAUUUUAUAAUAUUUCUCUGACUUUUGAAUCUGGAGGUGGGUUACUAUCAAGAACUGUGAAGGGUCUGAGGUUCUUAAUACACUAGUCUGUUACUGUUUCAUGGAUGUGGACAAGGCAUGAGAAUCCUGGUUCAGAGACAAAAGAUAGUAUGCAUGGCACAGCAAACACCGUGAGUAUCUGGCCUUAAGGAGUAGAUGUGAAGCUUCACACUUCUGACCCCUGGUCCACAUGCCUGCAUUCCCAGGCACGAGGGCAACUCCUGGAACUCCUCAUAAGGCCCCUCCAGCCCUGGCCCAGCUGGAGUGUGGGUGGCAGAGGAGGCUGCUGUCUCUUCAAUGGAUUUUGACCAGCCACCAAGAUUUCCAGCAAAGUAAGGAAGGAUGCUAGCAGAAAUCUGGUUAAA